rnacentral:rRNA from 1 species
UAGGGAAUCUUCCACAAUGGACGCAAGUCUGAUGGAGCAACGCCGCGUGAGUGAAGAAGGUUUUCGGAUCGUAAAGCUCUGUUGUUGGUGAAGAAGGAUAGAGGCAGUAACUGGUCUUUAUUUGACGGUAAUCAACCAGAAAGUCACGGCUAACUACGUGCCAGCAGCCGCGGUAAUACGUAGGUGGCAAGCGUUGUCCGGAUUUAUUGGGCGUAAAGCGAGCGCAGGCGGAAUGAUAAGUCUGAUGUGAAAGCCCACGGCUCAACCGUGGAACUGCAUCGGAAACUGGCAUGCUUGAGUGCAGGAGGGGAGAGUGGAAUUCCAUGUGUAGCGGUGGAAUGCGUAGAUAUAUGGAAGAACACCAGUGGCGAAGGCGGCUCUCUGGUCUGCAACUGACGCUGAGGCUCGAAAGCAUGGGUAGCGAACAGG